rnacentral:ncRNA from 1 species
AUCUUCGGGGCAGGGUGCAAGUCCCUACCGGCGGUAACGUCUUCGGACGAAGCCCGCGACUCCCGCACAUGCAGGGACUGAUCUGGUGCAAUUCCAGGGCCGACGGUGAAAGUCCGGAUGGUAGAAGAU